UACGAAGGGGGCUAGCGUUGCUCGGAAUCACUGGGCUUAAAGGGCGCGUAGGCGGUCCGACAAGUCAGGGGUGAAAUCCUGCAGCUUAACUGCAGAAGUGCCUUUGAUACUGUCGGUCUUGAGGGAGAUAGGGGUGUGCGGAACUCACAGUGGAGCGGUGAAAUGCGUUGAUAUUGUGAGGAACGCCGGAGGCGAAAGCGGCGCACUGGAUCUCUUCUGACGCUGAGGCGCGAAAGCUAGGGGAGCAAACGGGG
rnacentral:rRNA from 1 species